AAUUGAGUUCAGCAUUCAAUGUGACAGUGUGUACAUGCUAUAAAGUGUGUUGAUGAACAAAUACGAGUCCACUAUCGUUGUCUAUGUUAAUUAGAUUCCAGUAGUUUAUUUGUUAAUGUGGUGACUGAGAACAGAAAGACAAGAGAGACUAGAGUUGAUAACAAAAUAUCUUUAUUGAUUCCAACCAAUGUAACAAGCUUUCCUGUCUAGUAUCACAUAUUUGCAUAGUUAACGCUGCGCUGUUUCAAGUGCAGUCUGGAAUAAACGAUCCCACAGAUAAUUUAAA